rnacentral:rRNA from 1 species
UGGGGAAUUUUGGACAAUGGGCGCAAGCCUGAUCCAGCCAUGCCGCGUGAGUGAAGAAGGCCUUCGGGUUGUAAAGCUCUUUCGGCGGGGACGGAAACGGUCCGUGACAACACCACGGACUAAUGACGGUACUCGCAGAAGAAGCACCGGCUAACUACGUGCCAGCAGCCGCGGUAAUACGUAGGGUGCAGGCGUUAAUCGGAAUUACUGGGCGUAGAGCGUGCGCAGGCGGCUCCUUAAGUCAGAUGUGAAAUCCCCGGGCUUAACCUGGGAACUGCGUUUGAAACUGGGGGGCUUGAGUGUGGCAGAGGGGGGUGGAAUUCCAGGUGUAGCAGUGAAAUGCGUAGAGAUCUGGAGGAACACCGAUGGCGAAGGCAGCCCCCUGGGCUAACACUGACGCUCAUGCACGAAAGCGUGGGGAGCAAACAGGAUUAGAUACCCUGGUAGUCCACGCCCUAAACGAUGUCAACUGGUUGUCGGGGGAAGUAAUUCCUUGGUAACGAAGCUAA